rnacentral:rRNA from 1 species
UACAGAGGUCUCGAGCGUUGUUCGGAUUUACUAGGCGUAAAGGGCGCGUAGGCGGCGUGGUGUGUCGAGUGUGAAAUCUCCGGGCUCAACCCGGAAAGUGCGCUCGAAACUGCCAUGCUCGAGGACGGGAUAGGGAAUCGGAAUAUAGGGUGUAGCGGUGAAAUGCGUUGAUAUCCUAUAGAACACCGGAGGCGAAGGCGGAUUCCUGGAACGUCACUGACCCUGAGGCGCGAAAGUCGGGGGAGCAAAC